rnacentral:rRNA from 1 species
AUUGAACGCUGGCGGCAUGCCUUACACAUGCAAGUCGAACGGUAACAGGUCUUCGGGUGCUGAUGAGUGGCGAACGGGUGAGUAAUACAUCGGAACGUGCCCAGACGUGGGGGAUAACGAGGCGAAAGCUUUGCUAAUACCGCAUACGAUCUAAGGAUGAAAGCAGGGGACCGCAAGGCCUUGCGCGUUUGGAGCGGCCGAUGGCAGAUUAGGUAGUUGGUGGGAUAAAAGCUUACCAAGCCGACGAUCUGUAGCUGGUCUGAGAGGACGACCAGCCACACUGGGACUGAGACACGGCCCAGACUCCUACGGGAGGCAGCAGUGGGGAAUUUUGGACAAUGGGCGAAAGCCUGAUUCAGCAAUGCCGCGUGCAGGAUGAAGGCCUUCGGGUUGUAAACUGCUUUUGUACGGAACGAAAAGGCCCUGGCUAAUACCUGGGGCACAUGACGGUACCGUAAGAAUAAGCACCGGCUAACUACGUGCCAGCCGCCGCCGUAA